ensembl:processed_transcript Dleu2 deleted in lymphocytic leukemia, 2
AAACUGCACAAAAAAUCGAGCUGGGGGGUUCCCUGGUCCCCGAUGUUGGGGCGGAGAGCGCGGCGCCGAGGGAGGGGGCGGCGCAGACCGGCCUAGGGGACACCUGGUCGAGCGCAGCCGCCGCUCCGCUCGAGCCCUGCGCUCCAGUGCCCCCACUGGCUGGAGAGCUCGCCCAGACCGGGGGUCUUCCUCCGUCGCUGACAGAUUUUAACCAUUAGAAGAAUACCAGUUCUGGAAAACAACCAAAGUUUCUUUGAUUGAAUGCCCAUGUAAUGCAUUGGAAUAUGAUAGGCGAUUAAGGUAUACUAAUGGGGUGUG